UGCUGGGGUCGCAGUAUCUGUCCUGCAUUACUUAGAGGCAUCCACCUGGAAGGGAGAUGAUGGCACAGAAGCUUGAAAGCCGAUGUCCCCGGCUGUGGCUGGAGAGAAGAGGAAUCCCGAGGCUGACAUGUGGGCAUGCAUUCACCAGGCAGGCAGCCCUGGAAAUUUCAGUGCCCUGGGUCAAAGUCCCAAGUUUGUGACCCUAGAUGGGGUCCUGAAGAGAACACAGUGGAUAUUUGUUGUGUUUUGUGACACCCAACAACAGUCAUUGAAAAUCCUUUCUGUGUUUGGGGAAUUUUCCACAUGAAGGUUCCUACUGGAAGCCAGUAGAUCACUCCUCGCUUGAUUUCCAUCCAGGGAGACUCCAAUGUGUAAGAGAGUAGGAAGAAGCAGGGGCCACACAGAAGCAUCCUUUUACUGCUGAAUAGAUUCUAUUGUAUGAAUAUAACCCAUUUUCUUUAUUUACCAAUGUAUAAAUAUUUGAAUAAUUUCCAGUUUUCAUCUAUUAUGUACAAUGCUACAUUUUGGUAUACCUCAUAUUUCUCCUGGAUAAGUACCUAGUAGUAGAAUUACUUUGUCAUAUGGUAAGUUCAAUUUUUAAAAAAUUGAUUUUAGAGAGGAAGAGAGAGAGAGAGAGAGAGAGAGAGAGAGAGAGAGAGACAUUGAUCAGUUGCCUUACAUAUGGGCCCUGACUGGGGAUCAAACCUGCAACCUGGGUGUGUCCCUGGACCAAGAGACAAACCUGCCACCUUUUGGU